UACGUAGGGUGCAAGCGUUAAUCGGAAUUACUGGGCGUAAAGCGUGCGCAGGCGGCUUUGCAAGACAGAUGUGAAAUCCCCGGGCUUAACCUGGGAACUGCAUUUGUGACUGCAUGGCUGGAGUGCGGGCAGAGGGGGAUGGAAUUCCGCGUGUAGCAGUGAAAAUGCGUAGAUAUGCGGAGGAACACCGAUGGCGAAGGCAAUCCCCUGGGCCUGCACUGACGCUCAUGCACGAAAGCCGUGGGGAGCAAACAGG
rnacentral:rRNA from 1 species